rnacentral:rRNA from 1 species
GACGAACGCUGGCGGCGUGCCUAAUACAUGCAAGUAGAACGCUGAAGGAGGAGCUUGCUCUUCUGGAUGAGUUGCGAACGGGUGAGUAACGCGUAGGUAACCUGCCUGGUAGAGGGGGAUAACUAUUGGAAACGAUAGCUAAUACCGCAUAAGAGUAGAUGUUGCAUGAGAUUUGCUUAAAAGGUGCAAUUGCAUCACUACCAGAUGGACCUGCGUUGUAUUAGCUAGUUGGUGGGGUAACGGCUCACCAAGGCGACGAUACAUAGCCGACCUGGGAGGGUGAUCGGCCACACUGGGACUGAGACACGGCCCAGACUCCUACGGGAGGCAGCAGUAGGGAAUCUUCGGCAAUGGACGGAAGUCUGACCGGGCAACGCCGCGUGAGUGAAGAAGGUUUUCGGAUCGUAAAGCUCUGUUGUAAGAGAAGAACGAGUGUGAGAGUGGAAAGUGCACACUGUGACGGUAUCUUACCAGAAAGAGACGGCUAACUACGUG